UAACACUAAUUAUUAUUAUUGUUAUAAGCUGGGUAUAUUUAUACGUUAAGGGAAUGAAGAGAAAGAACCACGUCCAGUUUCUACGUGCACUGAAAACAAAAAAUAAAUAUGUAACUCAUCUAGUAUUUUCUCAAACGCCCCGAGAUGUUACUCUGCCGUCUGGUUUGCUCAGGAAAUAAUAAUCACGCUGGAGGCGAGCAAAGCGCCGCAGUCUGGCGCAGAAUGAAUCCAUUUCCCGCUCGACUGUGGUUUAUAUAUUUGAUUUUGGUGACGUCACGAGCCGCGGUGAACGCCGUUUGUUGAAAUGACUUGUAAAAAAAAAAAGGAGGCAAAAUUAAAAGAAAAAGAAAGACGAAUUGGUAAACGUAUUUAAGGGGAAAUAACAGGUACGCGAAUACAAAAAUAACCUAAUUGUCUGUAGGUGUGGGGAGAGGGUAUCUAAAUCCAGGUAAUAAUAAUAACUGGUAGUGGAACUCUGAGAUGAAGCUUGAAAUUAUUUCCAUGUAAUAGAUAAAAACUGAUUACGUUUACGAUUAGACUACAUGAGUAACUGAAUCAGAUAGCGAUAAGAUAAAACAACAUAAGAAUAAUGUCUGAAUAAAUAACAACGGUUAUGAUGUGAACUGACGUAUUUAUUCAAUGCGGUGAAUUACGAUUGCAUAUCCCUGUCCACACACACACACACACACACACACACACACACACACACACACACACACACACACACACACACACACACACACACACACACACACACACACACACACCAUGAGAAUGUCCCUGACUGCCGACAUCUUCCCUCCCUCAGGUCAUCUGGCUCCGACGCCGCGACCUCCACAUCCUGACGGUGGGCCACCUGACCUACUCUGCCGACGACAGGUUCCAGGUGGUGCACAACGACAACAGCAACGAGUGGACUCUCGUUAUCCAGUACGCUCAGCUGAGAGAUGCGGGCAUUUACGAGUGCCAGAUCAACACGGAGCCUAAGCUGUCGCGGCCCGUCACUCUCACCGUGUAUGAUUCUUCACAAGAGAUAACUAUUACGAAGACAAAGGUUUUCGUUGCUAACAACACAGCUUCUACAAAGGACGGCCACCUUCGCGUAGAAAUCUUGGGUCCGCGAGAAAGAUAUAUUAAUGAAGGCUCAUCUCUCACCCUAAUUUGCCUUGUGACGUCAUCGUUCGGCCCGUCCCGGGUGUAGUUGG